rnacentral:rRNA from 1 species
UAGGGAAUAUUGGGCAAUGGAUGCAAGUCUGACCCAGCCAUGCCGCGUGCCGGAUGAAGGCCCUCAGGGUUGUAAACGGCUUUUAUUCGGGAAGAAGAGCAGGGAUGCGUCCUUGUGUGACGGUACCGAAUGAAUAAGCACCGGCUAACUCCGCGCCAGCAGCCGCGGUAAUACGGAGGGUGCGAGCGUUGUCCGGAUUUAUUGGGUUUAAAGGGUGCGUAGGUGGCUUGCUAAGUCAGUGGUGAAAUACAGCCGCUCAACGGUUGAGGUGCCAUUGAUACUGACAAGCUUGAAACAAGUGGAGGCUGCCGGAAUGGAUGGUGUAGCGGUGAAAUGCAUAGAUAUCAUCCAGAACACCGAUUGCGAAGGCAGGUGGCUACGUUUGAUUUGACACUGAGGCACGAAAGCAUGGGGAGCAAACAGGA